UGGAGAGUUUGAUCCUGGCUCAGAAUAAACGCUGGCGGCGUGCUUAACACAUGCAAGUCGAACGUGAAAGUCCUUCGGGAUGAGUAAAGUGGCGGACGGGUGAGUAACGCGUGGGAAUCUGCCUUUUAGUGAAGGAUACCGUUGGGAAACUGACGUUAAUACUGCAUACGUCUCGAAAGAGAGAAAGAUGGCCUCUUUGCUGUCGCUAAAAGAUGAGCCUGCGUGCUAUUAGCUAGUUGGUGGGGUAAAGGCCUACCAAGGCUAUGAUGGCUAACCGGCCUGAGAGGGUGUACGGUCACAUUGGAACUGAGAAACGGUCCAAACUCCUACGGGAGGCAGCAGUGAGGAAUAUUGCACAAUGGGCGAAAGCCUGAUGCAGCGACGCCGCGUGGAGGAUGACGGUCUUCGGAUUGUAAACUCCUGUUAAGUGGGGCAAAAGAGCUUCUGUUAAUAGCAGAGGAAGAUGAUGGUACCACUAGAGAAAGCACCGGCUAACUUCGUGCCAGCAGCCGCGGUAAUACGAAGGGUGCGAGCGUUAUU
rnacentral:rRNA from 1 species